rnacentral:lncRNA from 1 species
CGCCGAGCUGUUGCUGUCGCCCUUAUCCUUGAAGUAGGGCACACUCUUCACCAUCCACUCGUAGAUCUGCGACAGGGUGAGCCUCUUCUCCGCCGAGCUCUCGAUGGCCUUGGUGAUGAGGUCGGCGUACGACAGGUUGCCCCACGCGUUGCGGCGCGACGAACUGGUCUUGCGCGGCUGCCCAGCGAGUGGCCCCGCGGCGGCUGGAGGCACCGGUGGGGGCUGCGACAGCGGCCCGGUCGGUGGGGGCUGCGGCGGCGCCGAGUGCACGCAGCCCGCCUCCGGGCCCUGGAAGUCCCCGCACAGGCCCCUACUGGCGGCAGCUGCGGCCG